AAGCUGGUGAGACGUUCGCUGUAUUCACACAAGCACACAGGCAGAGCAGAGCACCCAUCCAUCCGUAAACUUUGGCUCUUUUAGAGAGAGAAAAAAAUAGACCGCCCUUGAUCUCGAAGGCGUUCCUGAAAGACGGAUGAAAGAGGCGGCUAGAAAGCCGAGAGGCAGGAGACAUCGUCGUGUAUCGUGGGCAGUGGGUUCAGUUCCCACGCGGGGCAGAACGUUCAUAAGUAGAGCUGCUCCUGCAAUUCCAGGGAGUCUAAGGUUACAGAAGCGUUUGCCAACUUUGAUAGGUAAACGCAUUUCAAGCAAAUAGAGCAGUGGGUGAUGCACUGCACUCGAAGGGGGAUCCAUGCGAGGAAGAGGAAGAGCGCGAGGACGAAGGGGAUGGAGUGGGCUCUGUUAUAGAUGACACCUGAGGAAGAUUGCAUUGAUAAAUUGGCUUGCUUUUUAGAUUUAAAUCUUCAGAAAUUUCCUCCUCGCGGUGCUGAUGACUUCUUUCUUCAAAUAAUUUCACAGGGACAAUACCAAAAGCAUAUGGAAAACUAAAGAAUCUCGCUUAGUUUAGGAUAGAUGGGAGCAGUUUAUCUAGGAAGAUACCUAGUUUUAUUGGGAAUUGGACCAAACAUAAUA